GGUUAAGCGACUAAGCGUACACGGUGGAUGCCCCGCAGUCAGAGGCGAUGAAGGACGUGCUAAUCUGCGAUAAGCGUCGGUAAGGUGAUAUGAACCGUUAUAACCGGCGAUUUCCGAAUGGGGAAACCCAGUGUGUUUCGACACACUAUCAUUAACUGAAUCCAUAGGUUAAUGAGGCGAACCGGGGAACUGAAACAUCUAAGUACCCCGAGGAAAAGAAAUCAACCGAGAUUCCCCAGUAGCGGCGAGCGAACGGGGAGCAGCCCAGAGCCUGAAUCAGUAUGUGUGUUAGUGGAAGCGUCUGGAAAGGCGCGCGAUACAGGGUGACAGCCCCGUACACAAAAAUGCACAUGCUGUGAGCUCGAUGAGUAGGGCGGGACACGUGGUAUCCUGUCUGAAUAUGGGGGGACCAUCCUCCAAGGCUAAAUACUCCUGACUGACCGAUAGUGAACCAGUACCGUGAGGGAAAGGCGAAAAGAACCCCGGCGAGGGGAGUGAAAAAGAACCUGAAACCGUGUACGUACAAGCAGUGGGAGCACGCUUAGGCGUGUGACUGCGUACCUUUGUAUAAUGGGUCAGCGACUUAUAUUCUGUAGCAAGGUUAACCGAAUAGGGAGCCGAAGGGAAACCGAGUCUUAACUGGGCGUUAAGUUGCAGGGUAUAGACCCGAAACCCGGUGAUCUAGCCAUGGGCAGGUUGAAGGUUGGGUAACACUAACUGGAGGACCGAACCGACUAAUGUUGAAAAAUUAGCGGAUGACUUGUGGCUGGGGGUGAAAGGCCAAUCAAACCGGGAGAUAGCUGGUUCUCCCCGAAAGCUAUUUAGGUAGCGCCUCGUGAAUUCAUCUCCGGGGGUAGAGCACUGUUUCGGCAAGGGGGUCAUCCCGACUUACCAACCCGAUGCAAACUGCGAAUACCGGAGAAUGUUAUCACGGGAGACACACGGCGGGUGCUAACGUCCGUCGUGAAGAGGGAAACAACCCAGACCGCCAGCUAAGGUCCCAAAGUCAUGGUUAAGUGGGAAACGAUGUGGGAAGGCCCAGACAGCCAGGAUGUUGGCUUAGAAGCAGCCAUCAUUUAAAGAAAGCGUAAUAGCUCACUGGUCGAGUCGGCCUGCGCGGAAGAUGUAACGGGGCUAAACCAUGCACCGAAGCUGCGGCAGCGACGCUGAUGCGUUGUUGGGUAGGGGAGCGUUCUGUAAGCCUGCGAAGGUGUGCUGUGAGGCAUGCUGGAGGUAUCAGAAGUGCGAAUGCUGACAUAAGUAACGAUAAAGCGGGUGAAAAGCCCGCUCGCCGGAAGACCAAGGGUUCCUGUCCAACGUUAAUCGGGGCAGGGUGAGUCGACCCCUAAGGCGAGGCCGAAAGGCGUAGUCGAUGGGAAACAGGUUAAUAUUCCUGUACUUGGUGUUACUGCGAAGGGGGGACGGAGAAGGCUAUGUUGGCCGGGCGACGGUUGUCCCGGUUUAAGCGUGUAGGCUGGUUUUCCAGGCAAAUCCGGAAAAUCAAGGCUGAGGCGUGAUGACGAGGCACUACGGUGCUGAAGCAACAAAUGCCCUGCUUCCAGGAAAAGCCUCUAAGCAUCAGGUAACAUCAAAUCGUACCCCAAACCGACACAGGUGGUCAGGUAGAGAAUACCAAGGCGCUUGAGAGAACUCGGGUGAAGGAACUAGGCAAAAUGGUGCCGUAACUUCGGGAGAAGGCACGCUGAUAUGUAGGUGAGGUCCCUCGCGGAUGGAGCUGAAAUCAGUCGAAGAUACCAGCUGGCUGCAACUGUUUAUUAAAACACAGCACUGUGCAAACACGAAAGUGGACGUAUACGGUGUGACGCCUGCCCGGUGCCGGAAGGUUAAUUGAUGGGGUUAGCGCAAGCGAAGCUCUUGAUCGAAGCCCCGGUAAACGGCGGCCGUAACUAUAACGGUCCUAAGGUAGCGAAAUUCCUUGUCGGGUAAGUUCCGACCUGCACGAAUGGCGUAAUGAUGGCCAGGCUGUCUCCACCCGAGACUCAGUGAAAUUGAACUCGCUGUGAAGAUGCAGUGUACCCGCGGCAAGACGGAAAGACCCCGUGAACCUUUACUAUAGCUUGACACUGAACAUUGAGCCUUGAUGUGUAGGAUAGGUGGGAGGCUUAGAAGUGUGGACGCCAGUCUGCAUGGAGCCGACCUUGAAAUACCACCCUUUAAUGUUUGAUGUUCUAACGUUGACCCGUAAUCCGGGUUGCGGACAGUGUCUGGUGGGUAGUUUGACUGGGGCGGUCUCCUCCUAAAGAGUAACGGAGGAGCACGAAGGUUGGCUAAUCCUGGUCGGACAUCAGGAGGUUAGUGCAAUGGCAUAAGCCAGCUUGACUGCGAGCGUGACGGCGCGAGCAGGUGCGAAAGCAGGUCAUAGUGAUCCGGUGGUUCUGAAUGGAAGGGCCAUCGCUCAACGGAUAAAAGGUACUCCGGGGAUAACAGGCUGAUACCGCCCAAGAGUUCAUAUCGACGGCGGUGUUUGGCACCUCGAUGUCGGCUCAUCACAUCCUGGGGCUGAAGUAGGUCCCAAGGGUAUGGCUGUUCGCCAUUUAAAGUGGUACGCGAGCUGGGUUUAGAACGUCGUGAGACAGUUCGGUCCCUAUCUGCCGUGGGCGCUGGAGAACUGAGGGGGCUGCUCCUAGUACGAGAGGACCGGAGUGGACGCAUCACUGGUGUUCGGGUUGUCAUGCCAAUGGCACUGCCCGGUAGCUAAAUGCGGAAGAGAUAAGUGCUGAAAGCAUCUAAGCACGAAACUUGCCCCGAGAUGAGUUCUCCCUGACCCUUUAAGGGUCCUGAAGGAACGUUGAAGACGACGACGUUGAUAGGCCGGGUGUGUAAGCGCAGCGAUGCGUUGAGCUAACCGGUACUAAUGAACCGUGAGGCUUAACCUU
rnacentral:rRNA from 1 species